rnacentral:rRNA from 1 species
GACGGUCUUGCUGUCACUUAUAGAUGGAUCCGCGCUGCAUUAGCUAGUUGGUAAGGUAACGGCUUACCAAGGCAACGAUGCAUAGCCGACCUGAGAGGGUGAUCGGCCACACUGGAACUGAGACACGGUCCAGACUCCUACGGGAGGCAGCAGUAGGGAAUCUUCCGCAAUGGGCGAAAGCCUGACGGAGCAACGCCGCGUGAGUGAUGAAGGUCUUCGGAUCGUAAAACUCUGUUAUUAGGGAAGAACAUAUGUGUAAGUAACUGUGCACAUCUUGACGGUACCUAAUCAGAAAGCCACGGCUAACUACGUGCCAGCAGCCGCGGUAAUACGUAGGUGGCAAGCGUUAUCCGGAAUUAUUGGGCGUAAAGCGCGCGUAGGCGGUUUUUUAAGUCUGAUGUGAAAGCCCACGGCUCAACCGUGGAGGGUCAUUGGAAACUGGAAAACUUGAGUGCAGAAGAGGAAAGUGGAAUUCCAUGUGUAGCGGUGAAAUGCGCAGAGAUAUGGAGGAACACCAGUGGCGAAGGCGACUUUCUGGUCUGUAACUGACGCUGAUGUGCGAAAGCGUGGGGAUCAAACAGGAUUAGAUACCCUGGUAGUCCACGCCGUAAACGAUGA